rnacentral:lncRNA from 1 species
CAAACUCUGGAUUUCUUCACCAUUAACUACCUUCACAUUACAGUAUUUCACACAAACACAGACUCAUUCUCUCUAUUGAACUACAAUCAGAUUUCAGCAUUCAAUCUUUCUUCUUCCCAUUUAAUAACAAUCAUACUUCCAUUCCAUAAUUCACUUUCACAAUAUUCAGAAACUCUUAAUCUUCUUAUUCAAAGAAAAUAACAAA